rnacentral:rRNA from 1 species
GACGAACGCUGGCGGCGUGCCUAAUACAUGCAAGUCGAGCGAAUCAAUGGGAGCUUGCUCCCUGAGAUUAGCGGCGGACGGGUGAGUAACACGUGGGUAACCUGCCUGUAAGACUGGGAUAACUUCGGGAAACCGGAGCUAAUACCGGAUACGUUCUUUUCUCGCAUGAGAAGAGAUGGAAAGAUGGUUUCGGCUAUCACUUACAGAUGGACCCGCGGCGCAUUAGCUAGUUGGUGAGGUAACGGCUCACCAAGGCGACGAUGCGUAGCCGACCUGAGAGGGUGAUCGGCACACACUGGGACUGAGACACGGCCCAGACUCCUACGGGAGGCAGCAGUAGGGAAUCUUCCGCAAUGGACGAAAGUCUGACGGAGCAACGCCGCGUGAGCGAAGAAGGCCUUCGGGUCGUAAAGCUCUGUUGUUAGGGAAGAACAAGUACAAGAGUAACUGCUUGUACCUUGACGGUACCUAACCAGGAAGCCACGGCUAACUACGUGCCAGCCGCCGCAGUAA